rnacentral:rRNA from 1 species
AAAAACAUAACCUUUAGCCAAACAAAUAUUAAAGGCAACGCCUGCCCAGUGAACAAUUAAACGGCCGCGGUACCCUAACCGUGCAAAGGUAGCAUAAUCAUUUGUCUACUAAUUAUAGACCUGUAUGAAAGGCAAAAUGAGGGUCCAACUGUCUCUUAUAAUAAAUCAAUUAAACUGAUCUCCUAGUAAAAAAGCUAGAAUAAUACCAUAAGACCAGAAGACCCUGUGAAGCUUAAAUCAAACUACUAAAUCACAUAGUAAUUACUUUCGGUUGGGGCGACCUUGGAAAAAAAUAGAACUUCCAAGACCCAGUACAACUGACAAUUGAACCAAGUUACUCCAGGGAUAACAGCGCAAUCUUCUUCAAGAGCCCAUAUCAAAAAGAAGGUUUACGACCUCGAUGUUGGAUCAGGACAUCCUAAUGGUGCAGCCGCUAUUAAGGGUUCGUUUGUUCAACGAUUAACAGUCCUACGUGAUCUGA